rnacentral:rRNA from 1 species
GCAGUCGCCGCGGGAAUACAGAGGGUGCGAGCGUUAAUCGGAUUUACUGGGCGUAAAGCGUGCGUAGGCGGCUUCUUAAGUCGGAUGUGAAAUCCCUGAGCUUAACUUAGGAAUUGCAUUCGAUACUGGGAAGCUAGAGUAUGGGAGAGGAUGGUAGAAUUCCAGGUGUAGCGGUGAAAUGCGUAGAGAUCUGGAGGAAUACCGAUGGCGAAGGCAGCCAUCUGGCCUAAUACUGACGCUGAGGUACGAAAGCAUGGGGAGCAAACAGGAUUAGAUACCCCCGUAGUCCCUGUCUCUUAUAC